UGUCAGUCCUAAAUGUAGGACUCCUUAGUUGUUUUUUUUACUAAGAGCAAUUCACAAAGCCCCUUAGUGCUAAAAGUGGCACCUAAAUCUUGGAGAACUAAAGGGUGGUCUAGAGGACUCCUAAGUCACAUUAGCCUGAGGAUCCUACAGCCCGAAGCAGACGGCCGGGUUACCCGCAAGGCAAAGUACGGCGAUCAAACACAUACUGGACUCAUCAACCAAUCCCCGUAGCAAUUUCAGGCAAGCUCGUGCAUGAGAACCGCCGGCAGCCAUAGUGACGGAGUUUUGCACUUACUGUAGGAAAACCGCCGACUCCUAAGCUAACAAAAAGUUGCUCUCAGCCACUUUGUGAAUAGUUUUUAGGAAAGAGCUCUUAGUUAAAUUUUUUUGUGUGAUUUAGCAGUACUCUUAGUGGUAAGAUAAAAUGCUUUGUGAAUAUGGGCCCCGGUCAUUCAAAAUACAACCUCCAACAUUCAAUAAAAUGGAAUUAAAACGUAAA